UACGGAGGGUGCGAGCGUUAUCCGGAAUUACUGGGUUUAAAGGGUGCGUAGGCGGCCUAUUAAGUCAGUGGUGAAAUAUCUCAGCUUAACUGAGAAGGUGCCAAUGAUACUGAUGGGCUUGAGUACAGAUGAGGUAGGCGGAAUUGACGGUGUAGCGGUGAAAUGCUUAGAUAUCGUCAAGAACACCUAUAGCGAAGGCAGCUUACUAGGCCGUAACUGACGCUGAGGCACGAAAGUGUGGGGAUCAAACAGG
rnacentral:rRNA from 1 species